rnacentral:rRNA from 1 species
AUUGAACGCUGGCGGCGUGCCUAACACAUGCAAGACGCACGCGAAAGGGGGCAACCCCAAGUAGAGUGGCGGACGGGUGAGUAACGCGUAGGAAUCUACCUAGUAGUGGGGGACAACCCGGCGAAAGCCGGGCUAAUACUGCAUACGACCUAAGGGUGAAAGCAGGGGAUCGCAAGACCUUGCGCUAUUAGAUGAGCCUGCGUCCGAUUAGCUAGUUGGUGAGGUAACGGCUCACCAAGGCGACGAUCGGUAACUGGUUUGAGAGAACGACCAGUCACAUUGGGACUGAGACACGGCCCAAACGCCUACGGGAGGCAGCAGGGGGGAAUAUUGGACAAUGGGGGCAACCCUGAUCCAGCGACGCCGCGUGUGUGAAGAAGGCCUUCGGGUUGUAAAGCACUUUCGGCAGGGACAAACAAGACGGAGCUAACAUCUCCGUUCCUGAUGGUACCUGAAGAAGAAGCACCGGCUAACUCUGUGCCAGCAGCCGCGGUAA